UGACCUCGGAUCAGGUAGGGAUACCCGCUGAACUUAAGCAUAUCAAUAAGCGGAGGAAAAGAAACCAACAGGGAUUGCCUCAGUAACGGCGAGUGAAGCGGCAAAAGCUCAAAUUUUAAAGCUGACAUCUUCGGUGUCCGCGUUGUAAUUUUGUGAGGCAUCUCCGGGUAGGGCGCCGGCCUAAGUUCCUUGGAACAGGACGUCACAGAGGGUGAGAAUCCCGUGCUUGGCUGGCUGUCCCCGUCCAUGUGAGGUGUCUUCGACGAGUCGAGUUGUUUGGGAAUGCAGCUCAAAAUGGGUGGUAAAUUUCAUCUAAAGCUAAAUAUUGGUGGGAGACCGAUAGCGCACAAGUAGAGUGAUCGAAAGAUGAAAAGCACUUUGAAAAUAGAGUUAAAAAGUACGUGAAAUUGUUGAAAGGGAAGCGCUUGAGACCAGACUUCGGUAAGGGGUGAUCAGCCGUCCUUUUGGGCGGUGCACUUGCCCCCCUCCGGGCCAGCAUCGGUUGAGGCGGCGGGAUAAAGGUCCCGGGAAUGUGGCUCCUUCACGGGAGUGUUAUAGCCCGGGUGAAUGCCGCCAGCUUCGACCGAGGACCGCACCCGCAAGGGUUAGGAUGCUUGGCAUAAUGGUCUUCAGCGACCCGUCU
rnacentral:rRNA from 2 species